GAUGAACGCUGGCGGCGUGCCUAAUACAUGCAAGUCGAGCGAACAGACGAGGAGCUUGCUCCUCUGACGUUAGCGGCGGACGGGUGAGUAACACGUGGAUAACCUACCUAUAAGACUGGGAUAACUUCGGGAAACCGGAGCUAAUACCGGAUAAUAUAUUGAACCGCAUGGUUCAAUAGUGAAAGACGGUUUUGCUGUCACUUAUAGAUGGAUCCGCGCCUCAUUAGCUAGUUGGUAAGGUAACGGCUUACCAAGGCAACGAUGCGUAGCCGACCUGAGAGGGUGAUCGGCCACACUGGAACUGAGACACGGUCCAGACUCCUACGGGAGGCAGCAGUAGGGAAUCUUCCGCAAUGGGCGAAAGCCUGACGGAGCAAUGCCGCGUGAGUGAUGAAGGUCUUCGGAUCGUAAAACUCUGUUAUUAGGGAAGAACAAAUGUGUAAGUAACUAUGCACGUCUUGACGGUACCUAAUCAGAAAGCCACGGCUAACUACGUG
rnacentral:rRNA from 1 species